UACGUAGGGUGCAAGCGUUGUCCGGAAUUAUUGGGCGUAAAGAGCUCGUAGGCGGUCUGUUGCGUCGGCUGUGAAAACCCGGGGCUCAGCUCCGGGCCUGCAGCCGAUACGGGCAGACUAGAGUUCGGCAGGGGAGACUGGAAUUCCUGGUGUAGCGGUGAAAUGCGCAGAUAUCAGGAGGAACACCGGUGGCGAAGGCGGGUCUCUGGGCCGAUACUGACGCUGAGGAGCGAAAGCGUGGGGAGCGAACAGG
rnacentral:rRNA from 1 species